CAGAAAGUGCCUGAAAGUACUGAAGCUGGAGCCAUGGAUGACCCCAGGGAGGAUAUGCAGAAGGACUGAGAGAUCCACCGCUGCCAUCCCCAGAUGGACAGGCAUAACUGAGAUGAGCACAUACAGGAAAGGUCUGCAUGGUUUUAAAGAGGGAAGACAGAGAUGCUUGUUGAUAGCACAAGGGCAAAGCUGCAAGCACUAGGAAAGGGCAUGCAAGGGGAAAUUAAGGAUGAGCUCAGAAGAAGAAACUCUGCAGGAAGCACAGAAUGACUCAAGAUUUCUUUGCUCCAUGGAAAAGUAGGAAGACAGAAAAGAUGCAGCAUCAGGGUGAAUCCUGAACCUGCAGCCAUCCGAUUGACCGCCAUCAGUCAUUUGCAGGCUCUCAGCAUUUUGGCCCCACAUAUGUACUCUCCUCCUGCUGUUCAGAAAGCCCUGCCCAGCUGCACACCUCGUUAUGCCCUGUGGCUGGGCUAUUUUAGGAAAACUUCCUCUAAAGAAAUAACAAAAUCAACAGGCUCUAACUAUUCUACCCAUGGGGCUGAGAAAGUAAAGGCUAAGUGCUAGAAAGGUACAGCAAAGCACUCAGAAGACAACUGGCUUGUCCUUUCUCUAAAUAUCACCAUUCUCCUAGAUCCAGGCAGGGCACUUUAGGUUUUGCGUGGUGUCAUUUGUGCGCAGUGCCUCAGCCAUUUUACAGAGAAAGCCAAUUGCAGCCUGAAGAGGGAAGAAAGGUUUUCCGUCAUGAUUUGAAGAAAGAAAUAACAGACUGAAGUGUGUGGGGGGGGGGGCAGGGGAAUAGCCCAGAGAGUAGGGCUGGGCAAACUGUGCCAGCUAAAACUUCCUUUGGGCUCACCCUGCUAAUUCAAGCUAUCAUGUGUUUUAACAUUUAUUUUCUAUUCAGCCUUCAUGGUUAGUGUUUAGUAUUUGCGGAAAUGAGCGUGAGCAGGAGUAGUAAAGGUCAUAGAAGGAGUUAAGUGCUAACUUAAAAAUAUGGGAAGAGGUAAGUAGAUUAAACAGCCUAAUCCAGUCCUGCUGGACAUGGACUGACCUCUUCAUUAGAGCUGAAAUCACUCAUCACCACAGUGGUGGGACCUGGUAGCUGCCAACUGGUUUGCUGAGGAGAGCGCUUAGAGGCCACGCUGACAGGGCUAUGCUUGGCUGAGGACAUGGGCCCUGUUUUGGGAUGACCAAGUGAUGUUCAGCCUUAUUCUUGCUUCUGCCAAGUUAAGGCCCUACUCAUGUGAGCACCGAGGUUGAAGGACAGGU
ensembl:lncRNA